CAGGUUUACGCAUUAGAAUAGUCAACUUAUUUUUCAAGAUAUUGGCAUGUCUCCUGUACAUAUUUCGCGUGUGCGCUGAUGGAGAUCCCAUUAAUGCUACUUGCUACGGCUGUAUGCCGGGUAACAAGAGUGUGUUCGAGUACUCCGCUAAGCUGACAGAAGAGGAGUUCCAGGAACGUCCUAUCAUCAACUGGGAUGGUAUCGUGUGGGUUAACCGCCCACUGUUCUUGUGGGUGCUGCAGGUCAUCCUCGCGAUGAUAUCGCUCUCCGAGGCUAUUCUGUUAGCCUACCUCGGGUACAAGGGCAACAUUUGGCAACAGAUUCUAUCCUUCCAUUUCAUACUGGAGAUGGUGAACACGGUCCCAUUUGCCCUGACGCUACGCAAUUAAAUUGUUUGUUUUUCUAUUAUAAAAAUUCACAAAUUAAUACGUAUUUUUUAUACUUACAGAUCCUCUAUCCUCCUUUGAGAAACCUGUUCAUACCAGUUUUUCUGAACUGCUGGCUAGCGAAACGAUCCCUUGAGAAUAUAUUUAAUGACCUGCACCGAGCUAUGCAGAAGUCACAAUCAGCCCUGUCGCAGCAACUGAUGAUUCUAUGCGUUACUCUUCUAUGUCUCGUCUUUACCAGUAUGAAUCGACAAAACAACGAGAUUCGACGAGGCCGUAGCCGAAUCCCACAGCGUUUUCGUGACCACACCCCACAGCGAGAUCGUACGAGAACUCCACGGAGUAGUAGGAGUAAAGCGGUGUGGCGAAGCCGUAG